rnacentral:lncRNA from 1 species
UUUCUAUGUAGGAUUUAUUUAAUGGCUUUUCUCCUCAACAAAAGUGUUAAUGCAAGCUGGAUAUGAGAAAGUUGACAGUAACAUCUUCUCUAUCAAACAUAUUACCUAGCCAUAUAAAUAGCUGUCAAGUACCAAAACAACCAACAAAUGAGCUGCGUACACCACAACAUUCACGCGGACCAACUAUUAGGAUUCAAUAUCUUACCAGCUCAUUUUUUUUUUCCUUUCUUCAGUAAUAUAGUAAAGCACUCACAAAUUUUGGGUACUUACCUUAAUACGAGAUAUGUUUCCUAUUCACUUUUGAGAAAAUAAUAUAUUUAUUUGGAAAGCUAUUUAUGUAAUGCAAUAAAUUUAAGUAAAUAAGGUAAGUUUUAAAAUAUUAAGAUAUACUUAUCGGGGUGUCUGCAUCAAUGAGUCACAAUCGUUAUACUAAUCUAUAGUCUUUCAUUUCUCUAUAUAAAGACCAGUAUUGUCUGAGUAAGACAACAACAAUACCAUGAGCAGAAAAAAAAUGAAACUUGCCUAUCUCACUGGCGAUUCUGUCAGAAAAGCCACCUUCGAGAAGAGGAAGAAGGGUUUGAUAAAAAAAGGUUAGUGAACUAAGCACCCUUUGUGAUGUUAAAGCUUGU